rnacentral:misc_RNA from 1 species
GAUGAAGAACGCAUCGAAAUGCGAUAAGUAAUGUGAAUUGCAGAAUUCAGUGAAUCAUCGAAUCUUUGAACGCACAUUGCGCCCGCCAGUAUUCUGGCGGGCAUGCCUGUUCGAGCGUCAUUUCAACCAUCAAGCCCCAGGCUUGUGUUGGGGACCUGCGGCUGCCGCAGGCCCUGAAAACCAGUGGCGGGCUCGCUGUCACACCGGGCGUAGUAGAUUUUAUCUCGCUCAGGGCGUGCUGCGGGUUCCGGCCGUUAAAAAGCCUUUUUUACCCAAGGUUGACCUCGGAUCAGGUAGGAAGACCCGCUGAACUUAAGCAUAUCAAUAAGCGGAGGA